GCAAAAGUCAAAUCUGUGUCACUCCCUUGGGCUCUUCGUGCCUGUCCCUAGCUGAUUUCCAGGAGGGAAGAUGAAAACUUUGCUUCUCUCUCUCCUUCUCUUUGCUAUUGCAGCAUGUGUCCGUUCCCAGGUUACACUGCUGCAGACCGGAGCAGCCCAGGUGAAGCCCUCACAGACCCUGAGACUGACCUGCUCCGUGUCUGGAUUCUCUCUCACUGAGUACGGGUAUGGAGUGAGCUGGGUUCGACAGCCCCCGGGGAAAGGCCUGGAGUGGUUAUCCACUGUGUAUUGGGAUGAUGACAAAUAUUACCAGGAGUCUCUGAAAAACCGACUGACCAUCUCGAGGGACACCUCUAAAAGCGAGGUGUAUUUGGAAAUGAGAGGCAUGGAAGCCGGAGACAGCGGCACCUAUUACUGCGCCAGGAGCUACACAGUGACACAGAGCAAAGCAGGGACUCGCGUCCUCUCCCAGGUGCAGCUGCAGGAGUCUGAGGUGGGGGCGGUGAAGCCAGGAGAGUCCCUGAAAUUUACCUCCACCAUCUCUGGAGACUCAGUUUCUAGCACCAGCGCCACCUGGAACUGGGUCCGGCGGCCUCUGGGGAAAGGGCUGGAGUUUAUGGGGCACAUGUACUAUCGGUCUAGCAGGUGGUAA